CCCCCUCCUCUUUUUCUCCUUUACCGCCGCCGCAUCUCCGGCGUCUCCGCCGCUGCCGCUGCUAUUUUUUUACUUUUUUUUUCUCCUCCGCCUCUCCCCAUCUUCCUUUUCUGGUCACGCCGAAGGCGACGGGCGUCGCUGCCUCCGCCUCCUCUCUUCUCCCACAACGAACAAAGAAAGGAAAACAGAAGGAAGAAAACGUAAAAACAUGGAAACCCCUCUUUCUACUUUAGUUUUUUUUGUUUCGACUUCGAUUCGGGCUUGCAUGUUGUCUGCAAAUCCCGAUCUGUGGAUUUACGAUCUGAGUUUUUUGAUUUUUAUAUUGUUUCCCUGAUUUGUGUUGUCUUUAUGUUGGUUUCUGUUUUCAAUAAAGAUGGGGAUCGGUGGAGCCGGAAAGGCAGAAAAAGUUUCCAUCGACGAUGGACUCGUCGGAGCAAAGGACGAGAAAGGUAAAAGGUUGAACCCUUUAUUUAUUCUGAUUUUACUUGGUUGAUGAUAGUAGUUUUGUUUGAUUAGGUCACUUGAAAUAAAAUCUGGACUAUUUUGUUGUUACGAUGAGUUUAGAAAUCUGAACUUUCUAAAAAUUACCCAUUUGUUUGAAAUGUUAUUAUUUAGUGUCAUCCUUGAUAAAAUUUCAGCAACUUGUUAAGUUUUGAAUCUUAUUUUAGGGUUUGCUAGCACGUUUACUAACAUGAAACGAUCCCUUGAUUAGUCAUAAUGAAUAUUCGAGGAUGAUUUUUAAGAGAGUAUAAGUGCCACAAAAUGUAUGUAUGAAUAUUGCAUGAAUGCUUUUGAAUAGGAAUGUUUGGAUGAUUACCUUUGAAUCGAAUCUUCUUUUUUUUUGUCGUGUUUCAGGUAGUAGCUCCUUGCGAAUGACGACAAAGUGAAUGACGGUAGAAACGGUUGUACUUAGGUUUAGCUCGUGUUUGUAACUUGCUGUAAUAAUUUUCUUUUCUUCUUUAUUUUGGACUGGGACCUCGAGUGCAGGGAUUUUUUUCGUCCAAAACCAUUCCUCUCCCCCAUUUCUCCUCUUGUUUGUCCAUUUAAAUCAAGAAAAGGGGCUGCCACCUCCCCUCUCCCCCAAUGGAACUUGGCUACGUUUCUUGAAACAAAACAAGAGGUGGCAGCCUCUUAAUUAAUAACAGUAGCGGGCCCGAAAUUGGACGCAAAAUACCGGGCCCGAAAUCGGAC
rnacentral:lncRNA from 1 species